GGGACGCGUCGUAGAACAGUUGCCUCUCUUUGUCAAUCUGCGUGUCGGCCUGCCAACCAGCAAAAUAAAAGAACCGGGUCGGCGUCCAGUCAGAGAAAGAUGGUCCCCGAGGUCUGAGAAAAGGUUCCCAGGAGAGGAACAGGAAAUGGGCUUUUCAUACCAGACGGCCAUCUCGCAAGCAUGGUCGUAGUGGUUGCUGCGAGCAGUCGGGUCUGCUGAGCCAAUAAAUUGCUGAGAAGUCAAGAGGUCACCAAACAACAGCAUAUUGCGGGAACAAACAAACUCAAUAGCAUGUGUUAAGCUAAAUAUGCCGUUAGCGCCGUUCCAUUACGAGAGGUCGGAGGGAAGGAAGAAAGGAAGAAAGAAAGAAAGAAAGAAAGAAAGAAAGAAAGAAAGAAAGAAAGAAAGAAAGAAAGAAAGAAAGAAAGAAAGAAAGAAAGAAAGAAAGAAAGAAAGAAAGAAAGAAAGAAAGAAAGAAAGAAAGAAAGAAAGAAAGAAAGAAAGAAAGAAAGAAAGAAAGAAAGAAAGAAAGAAAGAAAGAAAGAAAGAAAGAAAGACAGAAAGACAGAAAGACAGAAAGACAGAAAGACAGACAGACAGACAGACAGACAGACAGACAGACAGACAGACAGACAGACAGACAGACAGACAGACAGACAGACAGACAGACAGACAGACAGACAGACAGACAGACAGACAGACAGACAGACAGACAGACAGACAGACAGACAGACAGACAGACAGACAGACAGACAGACAGACAGACAGACAGACAGAAAGAAAGAAAGAAAGAAAGAAAGAAAGAAAGAAAGAAAGAAAGAAAGAAAGAAAGAAAGAAAGAAAGAAAGAAAGAAGGAAGGAAGGAAGGAA